ensembl:lncRNA
GUUUAUAGAAGGGCGACAGACAUAUUUUCAGGUUGACGGAUAGUUAGCUGGAGUGGAAAUCUGUUGUACCCUACUGUGAGUAGGAGGAGACGGACGUCUUGCUGGCGUGUCAGAGAGGUCCCUUCUGCUGGUCUUGCUGAAGUUAUGUGUUCACGUGGGAGCACGUGGCGAGGAUGACUGUGAGUGCUGCUGCCGCGGCCUGCUGGUAGCCUUGACCCAGUUCCCCCGCUAUCCCCUUGAACUGCCUGGAGGUAUCCACCCGGUUCUUAAAAGAUGGAUGCUGGUUGGUUGGAUCCAGCUGCUCAUCUCUGUACAAAAGCACAUAUUUAUCUCCCAGGUCACUGAUUGGUCAGAUGUUCAGGUUCAAGCUCAGCUGAACGCAGCAUGAAGGUGUCAGUCAGUAUUUAUUGAUUAUAUUUUAAAACAGAUCAUAUUUAAUUAAACAGAUUUAGAUUCAUGGCCUGUUUAUGGAGGUUUUAGACAUUUAACUUCCUCUUUUUAACAUCAGCAGCCCUCUGAUGAAACACCUGAAAGUUUUUUUUGUCUUUUCCCCCAGAAACAGGAAAUUAAGUUUCUGUUUAAACCACAAACAGCUCAGAGAAUAACGGUCACUAUGUGCAGCACAAAACUUUAAAGACAGUUACAGGUGACUGAAAUGAUGAACAUGUUAAAAUUUCAAGUUUUAAACUUUCAGCUGUGUUGAUAUAAUGAGUGAAUGAUUUGAUCUUUUCACUGCCUGCUGUGUUUCCUCGACUCCUGAGCAAAGAUAAAGAGUCAGUUCAGACCUGCAGUUGGUCCUCGUGGUGUUUUGAACUUGAAUUCAGCCUGAUUUGUUUUUCAUGUCUUC